AAGCGGAGGAAAAGAAACUAACAAGGAUUCCCCUAGUAACGGCGAGUGAAGUGGGAAAAGCUCAACUUUGUAAUCUGGCAGCUUCGCUGUCCGAGUUGUAGUCUCGAGAAGUGUUUUCCGCGCUGGAUCGUGUAUGAGUCUGUUGGAAUACAGCGUCAUAGAGGGUGAGAACCCCGUUCGUGACACGACUACCAGUGCUUUGUGAUACAUUUUCGAUGAGUCGAGUUGUUUGGGAAUGCAGCUCAAAUUGGGUGGUAAAUUCCAUCUAAAGCUAAAUAUUGGCGAGAGACCGAUAGCAAACAAGUACCGUGAGGGAAAGAUGAAAAGCACUUUGGAAAGAGAGUUAACAGUACGUGAAAUUGUUGAAAGGGAAACGUUUGAAGUCAGACGUGCGUUGUGCGAUUCAGCUCCGGUUCGCCGGAGUGUAUUUCGUACUAUUGCAGGCCAGCAUCGGUUUGGCGAGCCGGAUAAAGGUUAGAGAAAGGUAGCGGUCCAGGCCGUGUUAUAGUCUUCAACUGAAUACGGAUUGCUAGACCGAGGGACGCAGCGCGCCGCAAGGCAAAGCUUUCGGGCUUUUCGCGCUUAGGAUGCUGGUGAAAUGGCUUUAAAUGACCCGUCUUGAAACACG
rnacentral:rRNA from 1 species